rnacentral:rRNA from 1 species
GACGAACCGAGCGAACGUUGUUCGGAAUCACUGGGCUUAAAGGGUGCGUAGGCGGGCUGCCAAGUUUGAGGUGAAAUCCUCCGGCUCAACCGGGGAAGUGCCUUGAAUACUGGCGGUCUCGAGGGAGGUAGGGGCGUGCGGAACUAACGGUGGAGCGGUGAAAUGCGUUGAUAUCGUUAGGAACUCCGGUGGCGAAGGCGGCACGCUAGACCUCUUCUGACGCUGAGGCACGAAAGCCAGGGGAGCGAACGGG